rnacentral:rRNA from 1 species
GCUGGUUGCCUGUGAAACGAAUCUAAGUUCUCCCUUAAUUUUACCUCACCUAUAGACUUGAACACUUACCCGUAACAAAUUAAGAGCAAUUUAAAGGAGGAACAGCUCCUUUAAAAAAGAAUACAACCUCCUCCAGAGGAUAAGCACUUAUCCUACAAACUUGUAGGCCUUUAAGCAGCCACCACCAAAGAAUGCGUCAAAGCUCAAUCCCCAAAAAAUCCAAAAGUAAAUGCGACUCCCUCAUCCACAACAGGCUAACCUAUGAAAAAUAGGAGCAUUAAUGCUAAAAUAAGUAACUAAGGAUUAUCCUUCUAAAGCACAAACUUACAUCCUACAUUAUUAACAGGCCUACUAAUACCCUAACCACCACAAGACUAAGUAUUUAACAAUCCUGUUAAACCAACCCAGGAGUGCCCAUCUAGAAAGAUUUAAACCUGUAAAAGGAACUAGGCAAAUUCAAGGCCCGACUGUUUACCAAAAACAUAGCCUUCAGCACACCAAGUAUUGAAGGUGGUGCCUGCCCAGUGACAUUAAGUUUAACGGCCGCGGUAUCCUAACCGUGCAAAGGUAGCGCAAUCAAUUGUCCCAUAAAUCGAGACUUGUAUGAAUGGCCAAACGAGGUCUUAACUGUCUCUUACAGGUAAUCAGUGAAAUUGAUCUCCCUAUGCAAAAGUAGGGAUAAACCCAUAAGACGAGAAGACCCUGUGGAACUUAAAAACCAGCAGCCACUCUAAACUAAACCAAAGCCCACCAGGCUCACUACCAUAGACAAUUGGCUCGCAUUUUUCGGUUGGGGCGACCUUGGAGAAAAAAACAUCCUCCAAAAAUAAGACCACCCCUCUUAACCAAGACCAACUAUUCAACGUACCAAUAGUAACCAGACCCAGCAUAAGCUGAUCAAUGAACCAAGCUACCC